CUCAGGAUGAACGCUAGCGGGAGGCCUAACACAUGCAAGCCGAGCGGUAUGUUUUUCGGAAAUGAGAGAGCGGCGUACGGGUGCGGAACACGUGUGCAACCUGCCUUUAUCUGGGGGAUAGCCUUUCGAAAAGGAAGAUUAAUACUCCAUAAUAUUUUGAACGGCAUCGUUUAAUAUUCGAAGGCUCCGGCGGAUAGAGAUGGGCACGCGCAAGAUUAGCUAGUUGGUGAGGUAACGGCUCACCAAGGCGAUGAUCUUUAGGGGGCCUGAGAGGGUGAUCCCCCACACUGGUACUGAGACACGGACCAGACUCCUACGGGAGGCAGCAGUGAGGAAUAUUGGUCAAUGGGUGCAAGCCUGAACCAGCCAUCCCGCGUGAAGGACGACUGCCCCUAUGGGUUGUAAACUUCUUUUGUAUAGGGAUAAACCUACCCUCGUGAGGGUAGCUGAAGGUACUAUACGAAUAAGCACCGGCUAACUCCGUG
rnacentral:rRNA from 1 species